CAGUCAUGUCGUGCUGUGCUGUUGGUUGUAGUAACGGGCCAUCCCAGAGAAGCUCUGUGCAGUUUUUUCGUUUUCCUUUAGGUGUGCAGCAUGCAGACAGACUGAGACGAUGGCUGGUGAACAUAACACGACAAGACUGGGAGCCCAGCAAGUCAUCUCAUCUCUGUAGUCUUAAUUUUGAAGACCAUGAAUUCACCAUUGAUACCUAUGGGAAUCGUCUGACUUGCACUGCAGUACCAACUGUGUUCUCCCUUCCUGACCACCUGGUGAAGAGACCUGCUAGUAGAAAGGCAAGUGGUUAUUUUCUUAUCCUUUCUUUGUCAAGUGCUGCAAAUGAGAAGGAAUGUGAAAUGGUGGCUGCUAAUACAUCAGAUCAAAAUGUGGCUUGUCAGUAGUGAGCAGUUACAUUUUUGUCACCCAAGACAUUAAAAUGAAAGAAUGAUGUCAUGGUUGAGAUUGUGGAGAAAUAUCAAAAGAGGAUGAGAAAGUAAGACGUGUAAAGCAAGUUUCAUGGCAUAACACAAACUUAGAACUUUUUUUAUGUGUUGUCUGUAAUGCUAUACAACUGUAAUACCUCCUGGAAGUUUUGAUUUUAUUUAUGUUUUUUCACAUGGCGGUGGUGGUGCAUGAAGGGGGUAUUUUGUCUUCCGCCUCCCUCCUGCACCACCACCACCAUCGCCAGAGCUGAAGGUCUACGCCACCAUCGCCAGAGCUGAAGGUCUACGCCACCAUCGCCAGAGCUGAAGGUCUACGCCACCAUCGCCAGAGCUGAAGGUCUACACCACCAUCGCCAGAGCUGAAGGUCUACGCCACCAUCGCCAGAGCUGAAGGUCUACAAUACCAUCGCCAGAGCUGAAGGUCUACACCACCACCAUCACCAGAGCUGAAGGUCCACGCCACCAUCGCCAGAGCUGAAGGUCUACAACGCUGCUGCCACCAGAGCUGAAAUCUCUC